rnacentral:rRNA from 1 species
AGAGUUUGAUCAUGGCUCAGAUUGAACGCUGGCGGCAUGCUUACACAUGCAAGUCGAACGGCAGCACGGGAGCAAUCCUGGUGGCGAGUGGCGAACGCGUGAGUAAUGUAUCGGAACGUACCUUUCAGUGGGGGAUAACGUAGCGAAAGUUACGCUAAUACCGCAUAUUCUGUGAGCAGGAAAGCAGGGGAUCGCAAGACCUUGCGCUGAUUGAGCGGCCGAUAUCAGAUUAGCUAGUUGGUGAGGUAAAGGCUCACCAAGGCGACGAUCUGUAGCGGGUCUGAGAGGAUGAUCCGCCACACUGGAACUGAGACACGGUCCAGACUCCUACGGGAGGCAGCAGUGGGGAAUUUUGGACAAUGGGGGCAACCCUGAUCCAGUCAUGCCGCGUGAGUGAAGAAGGCCUUCGGGUUGUAAAGCUCUUUCAGCCGGGAAGAAAUCACAUGGGUUAAUACCCUGUGUGGAUGACGGUACCGGAAUAAGAAG